rnacentral:lncRNA from 1 species
UUUUUUUUCUCUCCCUCUUUCCAAGACAAACUAGAUAAGAUGCAGAUUGGAUCAAGCGAAGAUGUGAACGACCUCAACUAUGAUUGUGACAAUGAACUAUGGGUAGCACAUGGUGGAAUUUGAUGGAUGGUGUGGUGGACAGCAGAAGGGAUAACGAUGCAGCGGCGACGUGACUAAUGUGAACAGAACUCGAAACUCUAAACGAACUAGAUUCUAAGACCAGCAACUCGACACGACGAUGCAACCGAUAAUUCAAUAAUGCAAACAAUGAAUAGAAAAUUGCAAAGGCUCAGACUGGCUUGGACAAAAGGAUGAAUAGAUCUAACUUUUUUGUGGCUUUUUCUUGGACAAUAGGUAAGAAAAUAAAUCUAAUCUAGGGGAAACUGGAAAUUCUCACCGAGCAACCUGAAAACUGAUACCACUUGAUAGAGGCAAAGGUGUCCCGAUCUUUCGAUGAGAUGAUAACUAUCGAUUUGGUGGAGACGACUUUGACGAUCCGACUACAAACGUGCACGACGUUGCGCCUUAUCAAUCGCUAAACCAAUCUCCUGAGGUUACUGACGAUGCCGGAAGCACGAUCAGCCUGACCACGAAGGUCUAUUCCUGCAAGCAAUCGAAGACCGAGCAAGAAUAUGAUAAUGCAAUCUGAAUAUUGCGAAUAUAUAUGAAGUAUUGAUAGUGGUGGGAAUCCGUAAGCGGUCUUGGUCUGGUCGUUGGACACAAACGAAGUACACGAAGUUGCAAUGGCUAACUUUUAACUAAACAAAUUCCAAGGAAAAAGCUACUAGAUGGAUCUACUUAUAUAGGAGCAAGGGGUGGCGGCCAAGGAGGUGGGAGGACGUCCCAAGGCAGCCUAAAACCAACCCUAGGUCGUACAAGGCUCAUGGGCCCAAGUGGAGGUGAUGCAACACCUUUGGACUUGUAGUUUGACUCGGAUUCUGGUGCAACGUCAGAUUGUUUCGACCAUAACUCAAUGCUCCGGACGAAUUUAAAGGUGAAUCCAAUUGGGUUGGAAAGAGCACAAAAUCUAGUUUCCAACAAAAAAAGAAUCACCCAAUUCGGAGUCCGUAUGAAAAAGUUGUUGGCGUUUUGAGUCAGGUAUGUCUGUGCAGUCCGAAUCUGAAUCCAGAACGUGAGAGACUUGGACUCUAUCUUCUCUUGGCCCAAAAGUGACGUGAGAGGACUUUUUGAACAGAACCUAAACUUCUCCUUUUGCCUUAUCUUCAUAUGUGGAUUGUACAAAUGUCCCAUACACCUGCAAUUAGACAAAACACAAAAGUGUGUGAAGUAUUUUUGUUCUGGAUAACAUAAAUAGAUUAUUGAAUAGUUUGCACUAGAAAUCACCUGACAAAUAUGCAUGUAUGCAAUAUUUUUGGUCGUAUCCAAGGUAGUCAUGUCCUCAUCAGGUUGUCAUAGUAUGCUUAGUAGUUGAAGGGACAACCGUAUCAACUCUUGGAAUGUGCAUCUCGCGCUUGUUCUCCUUGUGCGCAACACGUCGUUUUAUUUCCUGUUCAGCUUUGCAAGCAAGAUGAAACAAAUGGUCCAUAGGAUAACACUCUUCAUGUAUUAGUAUCUCCUGAAUGUCACGAUUUAAUCCUCCCCAAAAUCUAUCCAUAAAAUCUUCUUCACUUUCUUCUAAAGAGGAAUGCAGCAAGGUAGUUUGUAAAGUAUCAUAAUAUUUCGUUACGGUGUCACUACCUUGUUUUAAAUGUUGCAACUUUGUAAUCAUGUCACGAGUAUAAUAAGCGGGAACGAAUGUAUGUCGCAUGGCAAGUUUCAAAUCAUCCCAAGUAGUAGGUAUAUCAUUAGGGUGUAACCGACAAUAUUCACUCCACCAAACUACAGCAUAACCAGUGAAAGAACCAACCGCAACCUUAACUUUUUUACGCACAUCAAAAUUAGUGGAAGCAAAUAUAUUAUUUAGGUCAAACUCCCAUUCAAUAUAUAAAGCGGGUCUAAAACGGCCAUUAAAUGGUGGUAUAGAAACAUUAACCUGAUCAUGUGCAUUUGGAUGUUUGUGCACCUCUCGUGACGGUUGUGGUAUUUGCAUAGGUGAUGGCACAUCUCCCACGAUCGACAAACCCCAUGAAUUGACUCUAGGUCCUGUCAUGAUUAGUAGAAACAAGAAACAAAAUUCAAGAAUAAUGUUCCUAUGAACUACUAGGAUGUGGUGGUAAAGCGCUCACAGUAAAGCAAAUAUCAAUAUCUUACAAGUUCUUACCAAGCAGCAGGUGGUGACAGGCAACCAGCGGUGUCAAAUAACUCCAAAGAUUGAGUAAAGCGAUUUCCAGGGGAACGUACGUAUACACGGUGUAGAAAUAUGUGGAGCUGGGUUGGCUAUAUAUGGUAGCAAAAUAUUAGCAAUAAUCAAUUCAGAGAUGCAAUGUUGAAUAAACGCUCAACGACGAUACUGUGCUGGUCCUAGGCUAGACCGGACUAGAGACGCGAGCCUAGAACACUAAUGAGGUCACGGCGUAGCACAACUAGCAUCAAUGAAGGAUACUAAGUAGCUCUGGACAGCAAGAUAUAAGUGAAGAUCACAACGGCAGUAAAGAUAAUGAUGAAAAACAACUGCCAAGCAGGAUAUACAACAACUCUCUCCAACUUUCCUCUUGAAAAGUUUGUGCCAAUUUUCUGAUAAUUUUUUUCAAAGAAUGCUACUAACUCAAGCUUUCCAAUGCAAAAAGAAUCACUCAAUUCCGAGUUGAUAUGAGGAGUGAAAGAAUUCUGAAACUGGCUUGAAAAACUGGAAUAAGCUGUGUCCGCGAACUUCGGAGGGCAAAAAGACCUAUUUAGAAGACGAUUUUGAGGUGUCAAAUAUUGAACUAGUCUCUGCAACUAUUUAGAUGCGGCUCGUCGCUAGCUUUCAUUUGAGUACUCGCGGAGUCAAAACGGACUUCGUAUGAAGGUAUGCCUGUUUUACUAAACAGUGCACAAAACAGAUUCCAAUCCGAAUUCAACUACGAGAUUGAGUCUAGAUAGAUCCGAAUUUUGUUUUUUUUUCUUCUCUCUUUUUUUUCUCACACUUUUUUUCUUCUCUUUUUUUUCUGACUUCUUUUUCUUUUUUUUUCUCUUUUUUUUCUCUGUCUUUUUUUUCUCUCCCUCUUUCCAAGACAAACUAGAUAAGAUGCAGAUUGGAUCAAGCGAAGAUGUGAACGACCUCAACUAUGAUUGUGACAAUGAACUAUGGGUAGCACAUGGUGGAAUUUGAUGGAUGGUGUGGUGGACAGCAGAAGGGAUAACGAUGCAGCGGCGACGUGACUAAUGUGAACAGAACUCGAAACUCUAAACGAACUAGAUUCUAAGACCAGCAACUCGACACGACGAUGCAACCGAUAAUUCAAUAAUGCAAACAAUGAAUAGAAAAUUGCAAAGGCUCAGACUGGCU